rnacentral:lncRNA from 1 species
GGACCCGGGUGGAUAGAGGGACCCGGGUGGAUAGAGGGACCUGGGUCAAUAGAGGGACCCAGGUGGAUACAGUGACCACAGUGGAUAUAGGGACUCGGGUGGGUAGAGGGACCCAGGUGGUAAUGGGACCUGGGUGAAUAGAGGGACCUGGGGGGAUAGAGGAACUGGAUGGAUAGAGGGACCUGGGUGGACACAGGGCCCCGGGUGGCAGCCUAAUGACGCCCCCAUGUCCAGGGAUGAGAAAGCCGGUGCUCGGAGGAAUGUGUCCAGACUGUCACAUACUUAGCAGACGUUCUGCGCAGGUGAGCAGCUGAGUGGAAUCCACAGGUGAGCAGCUGAGUGGAAUCCGUAGGUGAGCAGCUGAGCGGAAUGCAAAUGGGAAACCCUAAGGAGUGGACCCCAGGCCGCCGACCCGACCUCUGGGACCCAAGGACAAGUGGUUGGCCGCCCAAAGCAGUGCCUGUGACCUGGUGGGAACAUCAGCGGGACGGCGGUGCAGAUUUUCUUCUGCCUGAUGGUCUGACUCAGGCCGUGGCUGUUCCAGUAACUUGACCAAACACUGCACUUGCCUAUUGGUGACUUGGGAGGACAUUAAGACCCUACCAGAGUUUUGAAAAAUCAGCAAUCAGCCCUCAGAACGUGGGUCCUGCACGUGUUUGAGCGUUCCGCUGUACGUUACAUAAAUAUAUCAAGUAACUGGGUCCUUAUGGAGACGCUGCCUCCAGUACAAGCAGAGAGAAGACCACGCACAAGGUGCUAAAGAAUUGGCAACGCGAACAGUCCUCUAUCCAUUGAUGGUUAAGUGAAUUACUUUUAAGCCUGAUGUCAUAGUCACUAGUCACACUGUUGUCUUUUGCUACUUAAAAAGUGUGGGAUUUUCUUCUUAAAGACAUUUCCCUGUCUUGGGUCAAAAAGAACUUUGCAAACAACGUGAUGUUGCGGUUCCAAUGUCUUUGGCUUUCAUAAGAACUCUA